GUUUUUUGGCCGCUUGAUUGUCUUCUUUUGACAAGUAUCUUUUCAUGCCUUUUGCCUAAUUUUUAAUGGGGUUGAUUUUUGCUUGUUGAAUUAAGUUUCUUAUAGAUCCAGGAAGUAACUUUAAAUUGUAUUUUUAGCCACAAAAGAUCAAUUAAGUCUACAAAACGCAAGUGAUUAUUUGUUUUAGCCAAUAAUUUCAAGUUCUCUUCACUGCUCCCAUGUAGAUUUUUUUAUUAAUAUAUGUUAUACAACAGUCCUCUUGUUCUAUGUAAAUCAAGCAAAUAAGCGUGAACAAAUCUAUACUUGCAAGGCACACACAACUUGAAGCCUGGCAGCGUCUGGCUGGAUAGACGUGCAACUUUUACAGAUGAAGUCACUGAAUUCUGUUCCAAUGAGAGAUAAGAGGAGCUGGAAUACAUGUAACCUGCAAUCUAAGCCCUGGAGUAUCUUCGCUGCUGCUCCUUUACUGCCAUCUUCUGACACGAUCUGUGUUUGCUGCUGGGAUCAUUUGUCACUUCUCUGAAGCUCUUCUCUUUGUGCGCUAUCUAGGCAGCACCAAGGAAUUUGAGCCAAGGCUACUAAAGCUGCUGUUGUUGAAGAAGCUGGUACUCUAGCUGAGCCUUAAGCAAGCCAUCACACACGUCUCUCAAGUUAAGUCCUUCAAGACAAUAGGGAUGAAGUGAUAUUGUUACUGUGAUUUCAAGUCUUCAAUCAACAUAUUAUAUAUCAGACUUGAACAACAGCACUGUUAGUGAAGUCAUAGCCAGAAGACGAGGAUGAGGUUUUUCAAAGAAAGGUAGAUAAUCUGCAUUGGAAGAGUGAAGCGGUUCAUAUAUUACUUUGAACAGAAACAGAAGGGAAAUGGGAAAAAAUUUAGAAAAUAAAGGAAAGAAUGUCCUUUCCAUGAAGACUUUUCUGAAAGGUUGUUGUUUUCUAAGACAGUAAAGGAGGCCAAGAUCCUUCAAGAGGAAGCAGGAAUGCAGUGUUCUGCAAAAUUAUCUAGCCAGAAGUCUGGAGCUUCCCUGGUUUUCAUGCUUGCUAAAUUCCAUAGAGGUUCAGUUUUUUCCUUGAGUCUGAAAUGCUUCAACAUUCUUGAAACAAAAAACUUCUUAUUUUUAAUAAUAAAAAGAUUGUGUU